rnacentral:rRNA from 1 species
CCAACGCUGGCGGCAGGCUACCCUGGCUUAUCGAACGGAUCCUUCGGGAUCAGUGGCGUACGGGUGAGUAACACGUGGGAACGUGCCCUUUGGUUCGGAACAACUCAGGGAAACUUGAGCUAAUACCGGAUGUGCCCUUCGGGGGAAAGAUUUAUCGCCAUUGGAGCGGCCCGCGUCUGAUUAGCUAGUUGGUGGGGUAAAGGCCCACCAAGGCGACGAUCAGUAGCUGGUCUGAGAGGAUGAUCAGCCACAUUGGGACUGAGACACGGCCCAAACUCCUACGGGAGGCAGCAGUGGGGAAUCUUGCGCAAUGGGCGAAAGCCUGACGCAGCCAUGCCGCGUGAAUGAUGAAGGUCUUAGGAUUGUAAAAUUCUUUCACCGGGGACGAUAAUGACGGUACCCGGAGAAGAAGCCCCGGCUAACUUCGUGCCAGCAGCCGCGGUAAUACGAAGGGGGCUAGCGUUGCUCGGAAUUACUGGGCGUAAAGGGAGCGUAAGCGGACUGUUAAGUUCAAGGUGAAAGCCCAAAGACUCAAACAUUGGAAAUUGCACUUAUGAUACAUGGACAA